UGGGGAAUAUUGCGCAAUGGGGGAAACCCUGACGCAGCGACGCCGGGGGGGGGAUGAAGGCCUUCGGGUUGUAAACCGCUUUUGAUUGGGAGCAAGCUUUCGGGUGAGGGUACCUUUCGAAUAAGCGCCGGCUAACUACGUGCCAGCAGCCGCGGUAAUACGUAGGGCGCAAGCGUUAUCCGGUUUUAUUGGGCGUAAAGGGAGCGCAGGCGGUAAAUUAAGUCUGAUGUGAAAGCCCCCGGCUCAACCGGGGAGGGUCAUUGGAAACUGGUUGACUUGAGUGCAGAAGAGGAGAGUGGAAUUCCAUGUGUAGCGGUGAAAUGCGUAGAUAUAUGGAGGAACACCAGUGGCGAAGGCGACUCUCUGGUCUGUAACUGACGCUGAGGCUCGAAAGCGUGGGUAGCAAACAGG
rnacentral:rRNA from 1 species